UCCAUGUGGGGCUACAAGAAGGUGGCCAUCUGUGAUCUGGAAGAGGGCCCUCAUGACAAUCUGACCAUGCUGGUAUGCUGACCUUGGAUUUCCAGCCUGUAGAGCUGUGAGAAACAGAUAUCUGUUGUUUAUAAGCCAUUCAGUCUAUGAGACUUUGUUACAGCAGCCCACACUGGUUAAGACAUCCGUAAACAUAGCUCACUAUGAAUAGCAGAACUCAAAAUAAGCACGUGGACCACAGAGGUCAUAUGAGUUGAGGAUCCCUGCAUCUUGUGUGUCUUAGGUUUUGGUCUCAGGUCUGCUGUUAACUGCCGGUAUAACCCCAGGUCAAGUCCAGGUGUAAGAAGGAGACAGUCAAAUGGAGCACAAGAUAGGCCCAAGGAUUUGGGAUGCUCAAGUUGUGGGUCAGAGGCUGAUGAUACAAACAGGAAUCGGGAAGACACAAAGUAAUAUGGAGCAGGGCUGGACAGCAGUAUAGCUCUAGAAGACUGACAGUCACCAGCACACCCAUGGGAAAGGAGAGGUCAGAGAGGGCCAAUGGACCUGCUGGGUAAACAAUCAGGAUUUGAAGAUUCAAAACAAAUAAAGAAGAUGAUUGUAAAUACUGAACUAGAGUUCACAGAGAAGCUGUGCAGUGCACUGGAAUAAAUACUACAUUCUGGCUUCAACUCUGUUCCUGACUACUCUUAGGCUGUUAUGCAAAUCAUUUUCUCUGUAUAAGCCCCAGUUUCUUCCUAGGAUAACUUCCUCCAUUACAGAGGCUUUUGUGAAGCUCAAGUGAAAAAAUGUAUGUGGACAUGCUUUGGAAAUUACAAAAUGCCUAAUAAAGGUGAGAAGUUGGUAUUAUUUUGCUCACCGAAGACAUUGGAAAUAAAGUGAUCGUGAAAAAAUGUCAAGAUGCCCCUGAUAUUUUUAAGUACUCAUUCACCUGUCUGCCUCCACUAAUGGGUUAUAUGCUCUUAGAUUAUCGAGAUGUCAAUGUGUUCUCUGUAUACUCCUUGUAACUAUCUCAUUAGCUGAUUCCUUGUGGUCUACUAAGUAUUAAAGCAAUCAAUAAAAUAAUUGCAAACAA
rnacentral:lncRNA from 1 species